GCGCCCGUAGCUCAGCUGGAUAGAGCAACGGAUUUCUAAUCCGUAGGUCGCAGGUUCGAGUCCUACCGGGCGCA
rnacentral:tRNA from 1 species